AUUGAACGCUGGCGGCAGGCCUAACACAUGCAAGUCGAGCGGCAGCGGGACCUUCGGGUUGCCGGCGAACGGCGGACGGGUGAGUAAUGCCUAGGAAUCUGCCUGUUAGUGGGGGAUAACGCGGGGAAACUCGCGCUAAUACCGCAUACGUCCUACGGGAGAAAGCGGGGGCUCUUCGGACCUCGCGCUAACAGAUGAGCCUAGGUCGGAUUAGCUAGUUGGUGGGGUAAUGGCCCACCAAGGCGACGAUCCGUAACUGGUCUGAGAGGAUGAUCAGUCACACUGGAACUGAGACACGGUCCAGACUCCUACGGGAGGCAGCAGUGGGGAAUAUUGGACAAUGGGCGAAAGCCUGAUCCAGCCAUGCCGCGUGUGUGAAGAAGGUCUUCGGAUUGUAAAGCACUUUAAGUCGGGAGGAAGGGCUGUAGGCUAAUACCUUGCAGUUUUGACGUUACCGACAGAAUAAGCACCGGCUAACUUCGUGCCAGCCGCCGCCGUAA
rnacentral:rRNA from 1 species